GAAAGCCAUAGUGACAGUAACCCUGAUUCAGGGGCGGGAAACACUGACCACAGAAGACAAGUUGAGGAUCACUUCCUUUGGAUAACCAGCCCUGACCCCAUUCCAUAGUAAUCUCUGUCAAUCUUGGUGGCUCUGACCACACAUUUGUUCUGGCUUAAAUUGGGGAGGACUAUGGGGUGUGGAGGACGGUAAUGGAGCAGGAGUAGUCACAGAAAACAAACUUGACCAAAGCACUCCAUACUACUUGGCCACUGGUUGGUUGGGGAUGGGCACAUGACCCAAGCUGAGCCAGUAUCCUCAGAUGUUUUGUCAGAGAGAUUUUUUAAAAAGCCCCUCUUUCUCUGUGAUCACAAGCCAUAAUGAUGAUACAAGUGUGGGGCUGCAGGCUAUUUUGCCCACCCAGGAAUUAAGUCAAAAGGGCAAGCAGAGAGGAGAAAUGAGGAGAGGAACAGAGCCCAGCUGGCAUUGCAUCCCAGAAUCCAAUUUUGCCUGAAGCUACCUCUUAGAUUUGCCAGUUACAUGAGCCUUUUCUUGUUUAAGUUGGUUUGAAUUAGGUUUUUGCUACUGGCAGCCAAAGGAGUCCUGACUAAUCCACAAAGUUCAACUGACAGAUAAGCUACUCAGAAUGCGACGGUGAAAUGAAAGGGAUAAUACUCUCCCAUUCUCUUGUAAUUUGGAAAUUCUCCGGACCUAAAGCCAGAUCAGCCUCUGCUCUACCAGCACCAAAACUGUGCACGAGGCACACUGUAGUCAUCUAAGGAACUGGAGAUGUUAGCCUGAGAACGAGAAGACAAGAUGUGCUUGCUGGGCUCAAACGUGUGAAGGUCUACUUUGUGAGAAAGGGAUUGGAUUCACUCUUUGGAGUUAAAAGUCAGACCAACAAGUCCUUAUCACUGAGGGGAAUUUUCUGUACAACAUGAAGGAUAACUUUUCUAACAAUGAAAGCCAUCCUAGCUGACAUAAUGUGACCCUCAAACACUUCCUUUAUUGAGUGAGAGGCUGGACAAAAUGACAUCUAAGAUCCCACCCAACUCUGUGAUUACUUGAUUCAAUCAAAGUUUGGUCAUGGUGACCGUAUCUGUACAGUCAUGCAUUGAUUAAAAAUGGGGAUAUAUCCUGAGAAAUGUGUCCUUAUGUGAUUCCAUCAUUGUGCAAACAUCAUAGAGUGCACUUACAUAAAUCUAGAUGGCAAUGCCUUCUGCACACCUAGGUUUUGUGGUAUAGUCUAAUGCUUCUAGGCUGUAAACCUGUACAGCAGAUGACUGUCCUGAAUACUGUAGGCAACUGUAACACCAUAG
rnacentral:lncRNA from 10 species